UGAGUAAUGUCUGGGAAACUGCCUGAUGGAGGGGGAUAACUACUGGAAACGGUAGCUAAUACCGCAUAACGUCGCAAGACCAAAGAGGGGGACCUUCGGGCCUCUUGCCAUCGGAUGUGCCCAGAUGGGAUUAGCUAGUAGGUGGGGUAACGGCUCACCUAGGCGACGAUCCCUAGCUGGUCUGAGAGGAUGACCAGCCACACUGGAACUGAGACACGGUCCAGACUCCUACGGGAGGCAGCAGUGGGGAAUAUUGCACAAUGGGCGCAAGCCUGAUGCAGCCAUGCCGCGUGUAUGAAGAAGGCCUUCGGGUUGUAAAGUACUUUCAGCGGGGAGGAAGGGAGUAAAGUUAAUACCUUUGCUCAUUGACGUUACCCGCAGAAGAAGCACCGGCUAACUCCGUGCCAGCAGCCGCGGUAAUACGGAGGGUGCAAGCGUUAAUCGGAAUUACUGGGCGUAAAGCGCACGCAGGCGGUUUGUUAAGUCAGAUGUGAAAUCCCCGGGCUCAACCUGGGAACUGCAUCUGAUACUGGCAAGCUUGAGUCUCGUAGAGGGGGGUAGAAUUCCAGGUGUAGCGGUGAAAUGCGUAGAGAUCUGGAGGAAUACCGGUGGCGAAGGCGGCCCCCUGGACGAAGACUGACGCUCAGGUGCGAAAGCGUGGGGAGCAAACAGGAUU
rnacentral:rRNA from 1 species